rnacentral:ncRNA from 1 species
CAUGUGAAAGCCCUGGAUGAAAGAUGCUGGUCCACACCUGGUCAAAAUGAAACCAAAGGAGACUGGUGGGAGUCUCAAGUCCCUCUGAUAUGCAAGUCAAUCAGCAGAACUGGAUGUAGGAGUAAAAAACCAAUUAAGUUGUUUACUAGCUGAUUCCCUCUGAAAUUUCCCAUAGGAUAGCUGGUGCCAGCAGGAGAAUGACAUGUAGUUUCAUUCAGUAAAACAGACAACUACAGGCCUUGGGGACAUUGACUGCCUCAAUCUAUUCUCAUACUCAAAACAGGUGAAAGGGACUGCUCCUUUCUCAAUUGAAGGUGGCUGUUUUGCUGUGUAGGUGAUGAAUGCAUGGUGCCAAGUGGACCACUUUUGGUAAACAGAACUAAAAGAUUUUACUGCUGAAUACACCAUCAUUCACUUAAAAAUAACUGAGAUGCUGACAUUGGUAAAUUGUCAUUGACAAGAAUGAUUUACAAGUCAUUUUAGUGCAAUUAAAAAUUAUUCUAGGAAAAAGGGAUUGUAAGUGUA